UCUUCCUCCACUUCAAGAAGCAUCUCCGUGGUACUGUUAUCACUUGUGUCCAUAGGACAAGUUGAGCCUAGAGGCAGUAUCCAGUGAAGGCUUUUCUUUCAACAACCUUCAAUGUUCAAAGCAGGUUACAUGAGGUAUCUGUUCUUGAGCAGAGAGAGAGAGAUGAAUAUUGUGCUACGUAAGACUUCAUGGCCAUCCACAGAGAAUCUAAGACAUCAGUAUGACACUGACAAAGUACUGAAAGUGAUGCACAGGUAACAGAUGAAAACGCUGAAAAACCACAUCAUUCAUAACUUGUUUGAUUUGAGGCACACAGUUAUGAUAACGACAACUGGAGUCAUACUGUGAUCUGCACGCUUUCAACACCUCUCUCAGAUAAUUUUUAUUGCUUUAUUACUUUGGCUACUUUGUUUAGUAUCAGUGUAGUUUCUUGCUACAGCUUGCAAUAUUUUCAUUAGAAUGGAAAAUGUUCAUCAGUAAAUUUGGUACUCUUUCUUAUUAUAAAACUUGCUGUGUUUCCUCAUAUAUUAAACACAGUCCAUGCAGGUCA